rnacentral:lncRNA from 1 species
CGGCCCUAGCCUUGGCUUCAGAAUGAGUCACAUCCUAUUUGUGGCCACAGAGCUCAGAUGCCAUCAAGAUUCUUUAAAAACAUUCUCAAAGGGGACUUGGCAUUUCCAACAAAGGCUGAAGAAGGUCUGUUGGGGAAAGGGUGGGACGUUCAUUCCUGGCACCGGGUCCCACUGUUGCAAAGACAGAGUUUCCCUGUGACUUUGGAGGCUGUCCUAGAACUAGCUCUUGUAGACCAGGCUGGUCACAAACUCAGAGAUCCGCCUGCCUCUGCCUCCCGAGUGCUGGGAUUAAAGGCGUGUGCCACCAACGCCCGGCUGCAAUUGUGUUUCUUAAUCGGGAGACAGGAGAGGUGGCUCAGCAGUAGUACUUGCUCCUUUGCAGAAGACUGGGGUUCAGUUCCCAGCACCCACAUCAGGUGACUCACAAACCACCAGGAACUCCAGUUCCAGGAGAUCCAACGCCUUCUUCUGGCAUUCAUUACCAUCUGCACAGUACACAUAUGCAUAUAAUCAGGUGCACAGACUUACACAUGAAAUGCAUAAAUAAACCCUUUCUCUAAAAAAAGACAUUAAUUGGGAAUGAAAACCUCAGCCAGAGAAAGGCCUAUCUGAAAAACUAACAAAUCCCAGACACCAUGCUUCACCUUUAAUCCCAGCACUCAGGAGGAAGAAGCAGGUGGAUCUCUGAGUUCAAAGUCAGCCUGAUCUACCAAAGUAAGUUCUGGGACAGCCAAAGAUACACAGUGAGACCUAUCUAAAAUAAAUAUCAACAAUCCACUUGAUUUAAAACCAGACAAAAGAAAUGCUGUGAGGAACAAGGGCACAGAGGAUCUUCCACAUGGGCUGGGGACACGACUCAGUACCUAGCAUACAUGAAGCUCUGGGUUCAAUCCCCAGCACUGUGUAAAAUUGAGUGUGGUGUCACAUGCCUGCGAUCCUGGUAGGAAGCAUGCCUGUGGUGCUGGUUAGUGACGCUGCGGCCACCUUCUUACUGUCUGCCAGCCAUCCCCUAGCUGCCUCCCCUUCUCCCUCCUCCAAACUGUCUUUCUUUUUGGUGACCUGGUCUCAUUAUGUAGACCAGGCUAGCCUCAAACUCACAGAGAUCUGCAAACUCCCUCUGCUUCCCAAGAGCUGGAAGUAAAGUCAUG